rnacentral:rRNA from 2 species
UACGUAGGGGGCAAGCGUUGUCCGGAUUUAUUGGGCGUAAAGGGCGCGUAGGCGGUUUCUUAAGUUUGAAGUGACAGUGGGUGGCUUAACUACCCAAGGCCUUUGAAAACUGGGGAACUUGAGGACCAGAGAGGGACAUAGAAUUCCGGGUGGAGUGGUGAAAUGCGUAGAUAUCCGGAGGAAUACCAAAGGCGAAGGCAGUGUCCUGGAGGGUUAACUGACGCUGAGGCGCGAAAGCUAGGGGAGCGAACAGG